rnacentral:rRNA from 1 species
CUGAUGUGAAAGCCUUCGGCUCAACCGAAGAAGUGCAUACGGAAACGUAGGGAAACUUGAGUGCAGAAGAGGACAGUGGAACUCCAUGUGUAGCGGUGAAAUGCGUAGAUAUAUGGAAGAACACCAGUGGCGAAGGCGGCUGUCUGGUCUGUAACUGACGCUGAGGCUACGAAAGUAUGGGGUAGCAAACAGGAUUAGAUACCCUGGUAG